ACGCUCGACACUACGGGGGGCAGCAGUCGGGAAUAUUGCGCAAUGGAGGGAACUCUGACGCAGUGACGCCGCGUAUAGGAAGAAGGUUUUCGGAUUGUAAACUAUUGUCGUUAGGGAAGAGAAAGGACAGUACCUAAGGAGGAAGCUCCGGCUAACUACGUGUCAGCAGCCGCGGUAAUCUGAGCGGGCUGGCAAGGC
rnacentral:rRNA from 1 species